GAAAACUUGACUAGGGAAAACCAGCUACCAGAAUCAGCUAGUGGAGUACCCUCGCUUAACAGAUCCGAAAUCCAAUGAAAAUAAGAGUGUGUAUGCUGAACGCUGCAAAGGAACUAGAUGGAUCAUGUCAGCUUGCUAUCCAAUUUUUUUCUUAUUCAUGAAAUUAAGAGGUACAAGGACUAUUGGAGUGAUCAGCAAUGUAUAUCAAUCAUCAGUAUGAA